rnacentral:rRNA from 1 species
CAGUAGCCACGGGAAUACGGAGGGUGCAAGCGUUAAUCGGAAUUACUGGGCGUAAAGCGCACGCAGGCGGUCUGUCAAGUCGGAUGUGAAAUCCCCGGGCUCAACCUGGGAACUGCAUUCGAAACUGGCAGGCUAGAGUCUUGUAGAGGGGGGUAGAAUUCCAGGUGUAGCGGUGAAAUGCGUAGAGAUCUGGAGGAAUACCGGUGGCGAAGGCGGCCCCCUGGACAAAGACUGACGCUCAGGUGCGAAAGCGUGGGGAGCAAACAGGAUUAGAUACCCCGGUAGUCCCUGUCUCUUAUAA